GAUGAACGCUGGCGGCGUGCCUAAUACAUGCAAGUCGAGCGAACGGACGAGAAGCUUGCUUUUCUGAUGUUAGCGGCGGACGGGUGAGUAACACGUGGAUAACCUACCUAUAAGACUGGGAUAACUUCGGGAAACCGGAGCUAAUACCGGAUAAUAUUUUGAACCGCAUGGUUCAAAAGUGAAAGACGGUCUUGCUGUCACUUAUAGAUGGAUCCGCGCUGCAUUAGCUAGUUGGUAAGGUAACGGCUUACCAAGGCAACGAUGCAUAGCCGACCUGAGAGGGUGAUCGGCCACACUGGAACUGAGACACGGUCCAGACUCCUACGGGAGGCAGCAGUAGGGAAUCUUCCGCAAUGGGCGAAAGCCUGACGGGGCAACGCCGCGUGAGUGAUGAAGGUCUUCGGAUCGUAAAACUCUGUUAUUAGGGAAGAACAUAUGUGUAAGUAACUGUGCACAUCUUGACGGUACCUAAUCAGAAAGCCACGGCUAACUACGUGCCAGCAGCCGCGGUAAUACGUAGGUGGCAAGCGUUAUCCGGAAUUAUUGGGCGUAAAGCGCGCGUAGGCGGUUUUUUAAGUCUGAUGUGAAAGCCCACGGCUCAACCGUGGAGGGUCAUUGGAAACUGGAAAACUUGAGUGCAGAAGAGGAAAGUGGAAUUCCAUGUGUAGCGGUGAAAUGCGCAGAGAUAUGGAGGAACACCAGUGGCGAAGGCGACUUUCUGGUCUGUAACUGACGCUGAUGUGCGAAAGCGUGGGGAUCAAACAGGAUUAGAUACCCUGGUAGUCCACGCCGUAAACGAUGAGUGCUAAGUGUUAGGGGGUUUCCGCCCCUUAGUGCUGCAGCUAACGCAUUAAGCACUCCGCCUGGGGAGUACGACCGCAAGGUUGAAACUCAAAGGAAUUGACGGGGACCCGCACAAGCGGUGGAGCAUGUGGUUUAAUUCGAAGCAACGCGAAGAACCUUACCAAAUCUUGACAUCCUUUGACAACUCUAGAGAUAGAGCCUUCCCCUUCGGGGGACAAAGUGACAGGUGGUGCAUGGUUGUCGUCAGCUCGUGUCGUGAGAUGUUGGGUUAAGUCCCGCAACGAGCGCAACCCUUAAGCUUAGUUGCCAUCAUUAAGUUGGGCACUCUAAGUUGACUGCCGGUGACAAACCGGAGGAAGGUGGGGAUGACGUCAAAUCAUCAUGCCCCUUAUGAUUUGGGCUACACACGUGCUACAAUGGACAAUACAAAGGGCAGCGAAACCGCGAGGUCAAGCAAAUCCCAUAAAGUUGUUCUCAGUUCGGAUUGUAGUCUGCAACUCGACUACAUGAAGCUGGAAUCGCUAGUAAUCGUAGAUCAGCAUGCUACGGUGAAUACGUUCCCGGGUCU
rnacentral:rRNA from 1 species